rnacentral:sRNA from 1 species
AUGCCAGGUUUCCAAAGUCAUACAGAUGGGUGCUUGCACACAUGUCUGUAUGACCUUGGAAACCGCCCCGAUAUGAGGAUAAAAGCACUGCGAAGCAGUGCGAUAUCCGAAUGGCGGGUGUAGAUUACGGGAGCACGAAGUGCGGAGCAAUCUGC